AUCAUUACAGACUGCUGAAUUAAUCCACUAAAAUUGUCAGUUGCUUCUUUUCUACACCAGUAUAGUGGUACGUUUAUUAAAUAAUGAAUUAAAAACGACAUGUAUAACUUUUAUUUGUAUCGUGAUGUGUUCACCGGUCCCACAACUUCCAUUACGCAGUCAAAAUGGUAACUAAGAGUGGAAAGUGUUCAGCGUUUCACACUGAACUAUUUGACCGUUAUAAUGAACCAUGCGGGUACUACCGGUAGGCCUAUAGUGCACACAAAUAUUUCAUGCUUCAGAUUGGAACACAUUUAUACACUCAAAACAGUAAAUGUAAGUACAGAAGUAUGCAAAUUGAGAUACAGCAAGGGAAAGAUAGCUGUUUUGUCAGUAUUCACUAAAACCAGUGUGCGAAAUAUGGGGUCCCUUCGUUCUGAGUUGGAGAGUAGCACGUUUAAGUUCGCGGCCAAAUAGUAAUUAAAGUAGUUUGUUACUAUACAAGUUAAGCGCCUGUAACAUCAGUGUUAAAUGUUCAUGUGCCGGUUGGUGUACCUUAUGAAAGUAAGUGUUUAUCGGUUCGCAGACGUAAUGAGCGACGUUGCAGUGGUCUAUAUGUAAUGCGCACGUUCUAUUGUUUACAAUUAGCAUGCUAAGCAGAGUUAGCUUUUUUCACGUCUUAUGUUGCCUUACUAUGUAAUAUGAAUGAGAUUCAUGUUGCUUAGUGUAAUGCCCCAUACACCGCUUGCUUUGCAUGUCCAGCAAACCAACCAGUGAAAUAGUUUCGGAAAGGACCACUCUACUGUGAUGAGGUGGAUUUGUUUAUCGGCGUUACUAUAGCGAUCAUGACGGUACUGAGCAUAAAGUAGAAAGUAGAUGAGACGAUAGAAGGGUAAGAAACCCAUAUGAAGAUAGGCUUUUUAUUUCAGUUAUCCUAUUUUUGCACCGAAAAUAUUUGAAAACCAUGAAAGUUUAAAAAGUUCAAGAUAAUGACCACUACACAAGCGAAGUUGUGACACCCCGUGUUCGUUCCCAGCGCCCCCCUAGGUUGUACGAACGCCCCCCACGGGGCGCUGACGCCCCCGUUGAGAAACCCUGUAAUAUAAAACAACGUGCAUCCAAACAACUUUAGCCAAUGCAACCUCCUAUGUCAGUGUUGCGCAACAAUCGGGAGAUGGGACCCCCCGAAUAUUGACGGGUAUUUCGCACACUGACUAAAACCAUUAUUUUUCAGCCUCUGUAGCAGAUAAAAACAUAAAAUGAAAAGCAUUUAAGAGCUUAAACCACAAGGAAUGAUUGUAUUCACUGUAAUAUUAAAUCACAUGUUUGUAAAGCUGUUUGAAAUAAAAUUAUGAUAAUUAAUUAAUAUUUUUUCUUCCUACCAGGUUAUAGAUGGGACAAUGGAUGAUGUUACAGUGUCAAUUUUUAAGGCUGCUAACAUCGAUGAGGUAUUGAUGCACUCCCUCACUCGUGAUGAUUUGAGAGACCUUUUUCCUGGGCCAGAACACUUUCUUAGGAGAAAAAGAGUGUGGUCUUUGAUCAGCCCAGAGGACGAGAAUCCUAUCUUAAAAGAUAAAGAUGGCCCUUCUGAAACAGGAACUCCACCUUGUAGAAAACAUAGUCUCCCCCAAACAUCCACUCCUUUGGAGAAAAAACGCCCAAAGAUGACCCUAUAGCUACCUAGUCCACCAGAGUAUGUGAUUUACACGGACAGUGAGUUGGAACAAGCUUGUAGACAUUACUUUGAGAUGGCCCGCACAGGCAGAGAGGGGGAAUGUGUAAUGUCCAAGGAGUUGAGUUGCAGGCUAGUGAGGAACACACUCACGAGCAUGAUUUCCAUCCUGAGAGCAAGUCCACAAGGAGAAGAGCUUCAGUACCCUUCCAACCCUGAACUCACAGCCAUGGCUAAGAAAGUAGUUGAGUAUUAUCCCAUGUUACAAGACAAAGAUGAAGCUGUGAAACAUACAACCAUUCACAAUAAACUUAAAAAGAGGCUUCUGAACGUAAAGUCUCCGCAAAAGAGGCAAGGGUCUGCACAAGAGAGGAGCUGUCCAAAGAAGAGGCGUUGCCUUGACUUGUCCGCAAGUGACUCAGGAAAAGAUUAUGAUGCUGACUCAAGUGACGCAGGUGGAUCAACAAUUAUUUUGGAUCAGACUCUUACCAGUUCUGAUGAAAAUGAAAGUACAUGU